AAAAUACUGAUUCUUGUCCGAUCACUGAAGUUAAGCAACAUUGAAUGUGAUCAGUACAUAGAUGGGUGACCACUUGGGAAUACCAGGUACUGUAA